AACGCGAAGAACCUUACCUACCCUUGACAUCCAGAGAAUCUUGUAGAGAUAUGAGAGUGCCGAAAGGAACUCUGAGACAGGUGCUGCAUGGCUGUCGUCAGCUCGUGUUGUGAGAUGUUGGGUUAAGUCCCGUAACGAGCGCAACCCUUAUCCUUAGUUGCCAUCACGUCAUGGUGGGGACUCUAAGGAGACUGCUGGUGAAGAACCGGAGGAAGGCGGGGACGACGUCAAGUCAUCAUGGCCUUUAUGGGUAGGGCUACACACGUGCUACAAUGGUCAGUACAGAGGGAAGCCAACCCGCGAGGGGGAGCCGAUCCCAGAAAGCUGAUCGUAGUCCGGAUCGGAGUCUGCAACUCGACUCCGUGAAGUCGGAAUCGCUAGUAAUCGCGAAUCAGAAUGUCGCGGUGAAUACGUUCCCGGGCCUUGUACACACCGCAUAC
rnacentral:rRNA from 1 species